GAUGCUGGUUGUCAAGAACCCAGUGUCAACAACGCUAAUACAUCUGUAGUCCGUUGCUACUCAAGAAGGUCGGGGGAGGGAAAGGGAGGCCGGGAGGAAGAAGCAGACGGAACGCUGGAGAAAGGAGAGGGAAAACCUCCUCCUCUCUCCAGCGUUUCGCCUGGUUCCUCCUUCCCGGCAUUCCUUUUAUUCGCCCGACCUUCUCGAGUAGCAACGGUCUAUU
rnacentral:SRP_RNA from 1 species